rnacentral:tRNA from 1 species
UAGGAAGUAGUAUAUUGGAAUUACGAAGGGUUUUGAUCCCUUAAAUACAGGUUCGACUCCUGUCUGUCUAA